rnacentral:rRNA from 1 species
GGGGAAUUUUGGACAAUGGGCGCAAGCCUGAUCCAGCAAUGCCGCGUGAGUGAAGAAGGCCUUCGGGUUGUAAAGCUCUUUCGGACGGAAAGAAAUCGGUGGGGUGAAUAAUCCUGCUGGAUGACGGUACCGUAAGAAGCAGCACCGACUAACUACGUGCCAGCAGCCGCGGUAAUACGUAGGGUGCGAGCGUUAAUCGGAAUUACUGGGCGUAAAGCGUGCGCAGGCGGCGCUGUAAGACAGGUGUGAAAUCCCCGGGCUUAACCUGGGAAUGGCGCUUGUGACUGCAGUGCUCGAGUGCGGCAGAGGGGGGUGGAAUUCCACGUGUAGCAGUGAAAUGCGUAGAGAUGUGGAGGAACACCGAUGGCGAAGGCAGCCCCCUGGGUCGACACUGACGCUCAUGCACGAAAGCGUGGGUAGCAAAC